GCCCCGUUUCUUGUGCUAACGCGACUAUUAGUGAACCUGCGGAAGGAUCAUUAA
rnacentral:rRNA from 1 species